UGGAGGCGCUGGUCGGCAGCACCAUCGCGCGCAUCCUCGCCGACAAGGGCUACCGCGGCCACAAUGCACCGCCCGACUACAAGCUCAGGGUCUUCCUCUCCGGCCAGAAGCGAGGGGUGACACCGCAGAUCAAGCGCGAACUCCGCCGCAGAUCCGCUGUCGAGCCCAUCAUCGGCCAUCUCAAGGCCGAGCAUCGCAUGGGUCGCA
rnacentral:misc_RNA from 1 species